CAUAGGCCGGUCCCAACUUCUCAGUCACAGUUUCAGCUAUUGUUUUGUUAGGACUUGAAGUCUUUGCAAUUUCAGUUGACUUGCUAGGACUAUCUGCAGGUUUCGUGGCCACAGUUCCAGUGACUGCCUCUUUAGGGCUACAAGGUUUUGUGGCCACAGUUCCGGUGAUUACCUCUCUAGGACUAAGAGGCUUCGUGCAUGCAAUUUUGGUCACUGUCUUGUUAGGACUAGGAGGCUUCUCCUUAUCGUGUUCAAAUCCCGGAGUGACACUACUUGGCAAAACAUGCUUCUCAGAAAUCACAGGAACUGCUCGGGGUUGCAGCUUUGCAGUUUCCUUGUAUCCUUCAGGUGCCAUCUCUGAUUCGUACACUGUAAAUAAAAUGAAACUUAUUAACGAAAACAAAUUGAACAUUUGGAAGGCACAAAGAGGUUUGCACUAACUCUUCAAAAACAAGCACAUAAAUUUUUGGUACAAAGAUGCUAUACAUAAUGAAAUCUUGAAGAAACUUAUUAUUACUUGGGGCUCCUAGAUAUUCAGCAUCUUGCUCUUCAUCUUCGUGCUCAACUGGGCUUGCACCCCAAGUGGGGGUGGAGUUAUCGCCUUCACUGUGCUUUUUCUUGUUGCUGAGUGAGUGCUUCAGCUUCUUGGCCUUCUCUUUCACCUUGGUGAGAACAGAUUUCUUGUGAUGGUGUCCAUGAUCUUCUUCUCCAUCAUGGUGCCCGACCGGAGAUGAUGAUGAUGUUGACGAGGGUGAGGAUGUCGACCUCAAAACUUCACCCCCUGGACAUAAAAAUAAAAUUUAAAAAAAAAAAUCAGUUAGAAGUAAAUGUAUAAUCAAGGCAUACAACUUCCAUGCCUUUGGGACUCUCUCUACC
rnacentral:lncRNA from 1 species